GUCGAGGUCUGGAGGUCUGGAAAGUGGAAUGUCUUCACUAUUACCUGCCACUACAAUCCGCUCUGGAACCUGCAUAGUUACACUGGCAUUUGGAAAUCCUUCUGGGAUGUUCUUCUCAAGGUCAGCAUUCUGAGGAGCCACUUUGAGUUUCUCUGGGACCCUCAUGCGCUGACUGAUUCCUUCGGUGUACUCCAUCUCAUACUGAAGGCGAUUGAUUUCUGCCAUCUCGGCAGCUGGCGAUGGGAACGCAGCCCCACUCAUUCGGAAACGCUGGAGGGAACAGCGCGGUGCGACGGCCGUGGGUCCAAGACCGCGCGGGGGAGGAGGGCAGCGGGAGGGGCACGGCCCGGGCAGCCGGGCGGCGGCGGGGGGACAGGAGGGCGGCGGGCGGACCGGGCAGACCGGCGGCACGGCACGGCGGUGCUCCCUCCAGGCCCCGCAGCGCGCACUCACCCAGACGCGGCGUAACGCACUCGGCCCUACCCGCCCCGCCUGUUGCUCCGGCCGGGCCGCUGCCGCCGCGCUCCGGCGCUGCCUCGGGCGGGCGGGAGCCGUUCAGCGCUGCCCUCAGUCACCCUUCAGGUGAGGCGCCGCCACCGGGCGGGCUGACCCCAUCGGGCUGCCGUAAGGGCUGCCGGCUGCGGGCCGCGCGUCACGUGACGGAAAGAAGGCGGAAGUUGCUCCCCCUGGUGCCUCACGUGCGGCCCCGCCGCAGGGCGUCCAUUUUUAGUGAGGGAAGGCGGGAGGCGCGCGCGUGCGCACUGCUGAUGUCCGCGGGGUGAGCGCUGCGCUGCGGCUCCGGGGCUGCGUCCCGCCGGCUGUCCGAGCCUGAGCCGAUUAACGGCGUCGUGGUACGGAGACGCGAGGAUCUAAGUAUAUGUUAUGCGGUGGAAAACGUCACUCAAAGCAUAACUAACCUGGCACACCGUGCUCACACACCAGUGAAAUACAUCCGAAUCACGCAUAGCACAGCAGCACAACGCUCGUUUCCCGACACGCUCCCGUGCAGCACCGUGACCGCCCGUCCGUGCCCCGCUGUGCCGCGGCUCCGAGGCCUCCCGGGCCGCUCCUCACCGCACCGCGGCGGGCUGAAUCGGCUCGUUCCCUGCAGGGCGCGCAGGCACCUUCAGCGGUCCGGUCACAGCGAAAUGAAAGGCGCUACUGUGUGUCACCAGUAAUUCUUUUGAACAGGAUAAAAAAGCUUCCACUUUUCACUGUCUAUCUUUUUAAUGUUCGCAGUUACGUUUUAGAGGUCAACAUGAGCGGCAGAGGCAGAAGUACUGAAGUGCAUAUUGAUCCAAGGUCAAUGCAGCUUGCUAACUCAGGCCUUACAAUGCCAACAGCACCGUUUCACAGAGGUGAACGAUCUGAAAUAUGACCUAUUAGGAGAUAAAAAUAAAAACUACACAGCAUAGAAAAUUAUACAUUGUUUCUCUGCAGACGCACAAUCUUCCAUUCGGCCUCCUUGAAACAAGCCGCUGAGCUGAGCACACCUCAGCAGGCGAUCCCCAUCUGUCUGCUGGUGGGGGUCCUCCUCCUUUUACCACUUCUCCAGUCUCCGUAACAUUCACACACUGUACAGAUGGGUUUUGCCUUGAAAACAAUGAAAAUCUAAGGCAGCCUUGAAGCACACUAGAAAUUUCUUCAGUAGUGAUUCUGCCUGUGCCUACAUACAGCAGGGCUCAGGCCUUGUGUGUGGGCCGGAGCCUGGACGCAGGCCUGCACUGCAGGGCAGGGCCGGAGCACGCAGGGUCACCUCAGCUCCCUCACCACACUUUCAGAUGACACUAUUAAUACACAUAUACUUAAUGUUAUGUGUAGGCAGUGGAGAAGAGCAUUAGUAGAUAGAGGAACGAAAAAAC
rnacentral:lncRNA from 1 species